rnacentral:tRNA from 1 species
GCCCCUGUAGCUCGACUAAAGCGCGCUUCUGACUAAGGCGAAGAUGCGGGUUCAAACCCGGCCGGGGGCG